CAUCGACUACAUUCGCUUUCUGCAACACAGCAACCAGAAACUCAAGCAGGAGAACCUAAGUCUGCGCACUGCUGUCCACAAAAGCAAAUCACUGAAGGAUCUGGUGUCGGCCUGUGGCAGUGGAGGGAACACAGACGUGCUCAUGGAGGGCGUGAAGACUGAGGUGGAGGACACACUGACCCCACCCCCCUCGGAUGCUGGCUCACCUUUCCAGAGCAGCCCCUUGUCCCUUGGCAGCAGGGGCAGUGGCAGCGGUGGCAGUGGCAGUGACUCGGAGCCUGACAGCCCAGCCUUUGAGGACAGCAAGGUUGGGCCCUGCCACGGUGCCCCCUUCCCCACUCCCAGCCAUAUCCUCUGAGCCUCAGGACAGGGCCGGGAAGACCCUAACAGAUCCUACCUCCCAUUUCAUAGACAGAAUAACUGAGGCCUGGAGCCAUGUGGGGUCCCACAGUAAGGUGGGCAGAAUCCUGACCCCC
rnacentral:sRNA from 1 species